CAGUAGCCGCGGUAGUACGUAGGGGGCAAGCGUUGUCCGGAAUUAUUGGGCGUAAAGCGCGCGCAGGCGGUUCUUUAAGUCUGGUGUAUAAGUGCGGGGCUCAACCCCGUGAGGCACUGGAAACUGGGGAACUUGAGUGCAGAAGAGGAGAGCGGAAUUCCACGUGUAGCGGUGAAAUGCGUAGAGAUGUGGAGGAACACCAGUGGCGAAGGCGGCUCUCUGGACUGUAACUGACGCUGAGGCGCGAAAGCGUGGGGAGCAAACAGGAUUAGAUACCCCUGUAGUCCCUGUCUCUUAUACA
rnacentral:rRNA from 1 species